UUGUUUUAGAAAGUUUUAAACUAUAAUUUUUGCUCUUGACAAUAGCUCUCUUUUUCGUCAAACUAAGACACCAAUUGAUUUUUGGUGUAAGCGGAGAUUAAGGGGCUGUUUGGGUGAAAAAAAUGCUCUCUCAUCACUCAUCACUCCAAUAUUAUCACUCUAUAACUCAUCACUUAUCACUGAAAAUAAUCCAACUUCCUUAGGUGACAUGUUUGACACUUGUUUCCAACUUCUGCUAACUCAAAAAUUUUUACUUUUUGUGGGACUCCUAGAUUGACUUGGUGCAGCUUUUACUGAUCGGCUACCUUCGUGAACAAACUCACUGAACCCAAUAUUACUUCUUCUUCUUUUUUUCUUUUUCUUUUUUCCUUCAACCCCCAAUACCCAAACUCACCGAACCCAAAUUGCUCUCAAGCACUGUUCAUCGCCUCCCUCUUCAUCCAUUUACCGAACCCAGAUUGCUCUAAUCGCCUCCUUCCACCUUAGUCUUCGGGACUAUGCUUCUUGAUCAGAUUGGUGGACACUAGGCAUCCACUUCUCGGCCCGGGCGGUGGCAACUAGGCAUAGCAUAGGAUAGCAUUUUAGCCUUGCUUGGUUUACUUGGGUCAAAUCAACCUCUAAGUCCAUCAAGCUCAAAUCUUUCUCUCUUGGGCUUCAUUUUCUCCCAGUUUUCCCAUCUGGGUGUCUCUUGGUUUUGAGAUCUGGUGGAGAUUUUGGCUGUCUGGGGCAAGGAAUUUAAUUGGGUUAUCAUUGAAAAUUCAGUCUGAUCGAUUUGGUUUGAGAACCUAAAAUGGAGAUGGAAGACACAAACAAAUCUGGUUCUUCCUUGCCAAGCGGCUCUCCCUUGAGAACCAAACAUUGUUCCUUGCCAGCUAUGUGGUUUCCUUUGCCAUUUUCAUGAUCACCCUCGUCAUUGUCGCCUAGCAGCUCAACCUUAGGAUCACCAUCACCUUUAUGCCCAUUAAAUGACGAGUAAGUGUUUGAUAUGUAGUUAAUCAUUUUGGGAUGGUGGAAAAGUAAUGAUCUCAAGUAUCCUACUUUAGAAAGGAUUGCAAGAGAUAUUUUAGUUAUUCAUGUCACAACUGUUGCUUCAGAAUUUGCCUUUAGCACUAGUGGGAGACUUUUAAGUCCACACCGUAGUAGGCUACAUCCCAAGACUAUAGAGGCAAUGAUGUGUGCUUAGAAUUGGUUAUGGAGUGAAAUCAACGGUUCUUCAACUAUGUCUGGAGAUUGUACACUUCAAUCAAUUCUUGAUGAUGGGGAGCCUAAUGAAGAGGAUGGGAGUUGUGUUACAAUUGUGAAGGAUUAGACAUUUUGUAUUAAUUUAGUAGUCUUUUUAAUUUCUUAGACUUGUUGGAUUAAUUUGUUGCUUUGUAAUUAUUCUAAGCUUUUUUAGCCUUUUGUAAUUUCUUAGCCUUUUUUAAUUUGUUGGUUUGUGGAGGAUAAGACAUUUUGUAAUUUCUUAGCCUUUUUAAUUUCUUAGACUUGUGGGAUUUAUUUUGUAGCUUUUUAAUUUCUUGAA